ensembl:lncRNA
CACAGGGGCUCUACAGCGCCCCCUGGAAUAUGGAGGGCCGUAUAUCAUACAUACUUGCACGUAGACAUAUGAAACUCGGUACACAUAUAGAUCUCAUCAAUCCAAACAACUUUCGCACUGCAUGUCAUAGGCUCCGCCCAACAGGAAGUUGGCUAUUUAGGGUUUAGUAUUCUUAUUUUUCGUCAAAGUUGUGGGGGCUUUUGGGGCCCUUAACAUACUCAAAAACUCUUGAAAAUUUUCACACACCUUAGAAUCUGUGGCCAUUAGGAGGCUGCAGAGGCUGAGACCCGGGCGUGGCACAGGGGCUCUACGGCGCCCCCUGGAACACAGUCAGAAAUGUUGAUGUAUAGUUCAAACAUACUUGCACGUAUUCAUAUGAAACUCAGUACACAUAUAGAUCGCAUUGUGCCGAACAACUUUCGUAUUGCAUGUCAUAGGCUCCGCCCAACAGGAAGUCAGCUAUUUAGAGCUAUGUAAAAAGCGCAUGCUCUGGAAUUUGAUAUACUUGUCAUAGGUUUUUUACCCGAUUGCCACCAAACUUGGUCAACAUGAUCUCAAGACAUUGGGGAUGCAAAAUUGCCAGGGGAUUUUUGAUAUCUCGAAUGGUUUGCUCGUGGCGAGGCGUUGAAAUUAUGGCGAGAAAUGAGAAACAGGAAGUGUCUAAUAACAUCCACAUACAUUUCCUGAUUUUAAUUAAACUUCAUCAAUUUGUUCGUUGUAUGAUGCCGAUCGCAUAUAUGUGACUAUUAGGAGUCAAAAUUAUAGCGCCA